CCUGGAUGUGGGUGUGUGUGUGUGUGUGUGGCAUGACAAAGUAGCAGUUAGCCAAAUCAUUCGGACCAUCUGCUGCCCUUCACAGCUCAUUGCUUUGAUGUACAACUCGAGAAGUGCUACGAACAACACGAUCACACAACUCUGCUAUCAGCGCUGUUCCCCCCACUGCUGGCAGCGAUGAGUAUAGCUCGAAACAGUAUGCUGAUAGAAAGUGAAGAGAAGACUAGAAUCCAAAGUUACCUCAAUGUGGCUCCAUGGUACAAGUUCUGCCAAACUUCCGACACUUUGCAGAGGAACUCAGCAAUUUAACACUUGAGUGCCUAGUGUGAGUUAUGAUUGAAAAGAAUCAUAAAAAAGGGCUUUUUCUCCUAAAUAAAAACAUCAAAUGAGCCAAUUGACAAAUGAAUCUGAAAUGAUUUGUGCAUUUGUGUUAAACUCUGAAUAAUCUCUGAAAUUAACUGACACAGACUGGAAGCCGCCCCCCAUCUCACAUGCUCUUUACUAGACUUGUGGAGUGCUGAGGUACAUCAGGUAUGUUUUGUGUUUAUUAAAAUGGAAAAAAGUAAUUAAAAUUAGACAGAUACAACUGAAGGG